CAGGGGGUGCAAGCGUUGCUCGGAAUCACUGGGCGUAAAGCGUACGCAGGCGGACCGUUAAGUCGGGUGUGAAAGCCCGGGGCUCAACCCCGGAACUGCAUUCGAUACUGGCGGUCUUGAAUACGGGAGAGGUGAGUGGAAUUCCUGGUGUAGAGGUGAAAUUCGUAGAUAUCAGGAGGAACACCGGUGGCGAAAGCGGCUCACUGGCCCGAUAUUGACGCUCAUGUACGAAAGCGUGGGGAGCAAACAGGAUUAGAUACCCUGGUAGUCCACGCUGUAAACGAUGAGUGCUAGCUGCUGGAGAUCCUUUUAUUUCUUCGGUGGCGUAGCCAACGCGUUAAGCACUCCGCCUGGGAAGUACGGCCGCAAGGCUA
rnacentral:rRNA from 1 species